GCUGCUGUAGUAAAAUGAUUACUUUACGUUUUCGUCGUAAGAUUAAGAAAAAUUCUUUAGCGGUG
rnacentral:tRNA from 1 species